UUCAGGUUUUUGGCACUCAAUUACCAAAGACACAAAGUAUGCCUGAAAGUACUGGAGGUGAUUCCCAACCUACCAAUGCUGAGGUAAUGAAGGAGUUACAAGCUUUGAAGCUUUUUGUAGAGAACAAGUUUGAGGAGGUGCUUGCAGCUAUUGGUAGGCAGUCAGUGAAACCAGAGGGAAAUUCAGCGCACAAGCAACAGGAUGAUGAUUUGCGUUCUGCCCCCUUCGUAAAUGAGCAUGAUUUUGGUUUGGAUUCUAACUUUGAAC